UACGUAGGGUGCAAGCGUUGUCCGGAAUUAUUGGGCGUAAAGAGCUUGUAGGCGGUUUGUCGCGUCUGCUGUGAAAUUUCGGGGCUCAACCCCGAACUUGCAGUGGGUACGGGCAGACUAGAGUGUGGUAGGGGAGACUGGAAUUCCUGGUGUAGCGGUGAAAUGCGCAGAUAUCAGGAGGAACACCAAUAGCGAAGGCAGCUCGCUGGGACGUUACUGACACUGAGGCGCGAAAGCAUGGGGAGCGAACAGG
rnacentral:rRNA from 1 species